UCAAAAGCAUGUGCUGCGGUUUGCACACCAUCCGCUACUGUGAAGUGCUGCGGUACAUCUCAGUGUAACGUGGACCUCUUGAAAUGCUACACCUGCACCGACUUGACAGACGAAACUAAGUGUAAAGAUAUAACAGUCUGUGGGUACGGUGACAAGUUCUGUAAAACCACUUACAAACUAACUGGAACUGGUGUCACCGUCAGCAAGGGAUGUGCAUCAACUUGUACUGUAACAACAGCUUUCCCGCGAGAUGAGUGCUGUCAGGGAGAACUGUGUAACGGUAAUACAG